AACGAACGCUGGCGGCGUGCCUAACACAUGCAAGUCGAACGGAGAUAGGAAGCUUGCUUCUUAUUUUAGUGGCGCACGGGUGAGUAACGCGUGGAUAAUCUACCUGAUGCUCUGGGAUAACAUCUCGAAAGGGGUGCUAAUACCGGAUAAGCCCACGAGAUCUUCGGAUCAUGCGGGAAAAGGAGGGGACCUUCGGGCCUUCCGACAUCAGAUGAGUCCGCGUCCCAUUAGCUAGUUGGCGGGGUAAUGGCCCACCAAGGCUACGAUGGGUAGCUGGGCUGAGAGGAUGAUCAGCCACACUGGAACUGAGACACGGUCCAGACUCCUACGGGAGGCAGCAGUGGGGAAUUUUGCGCAAUGGGGGAAACCCUGACGCAGCAACGCCGCGUGAGUGAUGAAGGCUUUCGGGUCGUAAAGCUCUGUCAGAAGGGAAGAAAUGUAGGUGGCUAAUAUCCAUUCUACUUGACGGUACCUUCAAAGGAAGCACCGGCUAACUCCGUGCCAGCCGCCGCAGUAACAC
rnacentral:rRNA from 1 species